rnacentral:rRNA from 1 species
GUGUGGGGGCGACACAGACAGCCAGGAGGUUGGCUUAGAAGCAGCCAUCCUUUAAAGAAAGCGUAAUAGCUCACUGGUCAAGUGAACCUGCGCCGAAAAUGUAACGGGGCUCAAGUGUAUUACCGAAGCUGCGGAUGGCACUCAGGACUGCGGUCCUGAGGUCGUGGUAGGCGAGCAUUCCAUGGGCGGCGAAGUCCGACGGGAACGACGGAUGGAGCGCAUGGAAGAGCUUAUGCAGGCUUGAGUAGCGAUAAAACAGGUGAAAAACCUGUUCGCCGUAAGCCCAAGGGUUCCUGGGUCAAGUUCAUCUUCCCAGGGGUUAGUCGGUCCCUAAGGCGAGGCCGAAAGGCGUAGCUGAUGGGAAGCAGGUUAAUAUUCCUGCACCGCCUUGGACAGUUUCCAUAGGGGGGACGGAGAAACGUAGCCGAGCCGGGUAAUGGAUACCGGUUCAAACCUGUAGGGGAGUCACGCUAGGAGGCCUAGUGCCACAAACGGCGUGACAAUCCUGAGAGGUGAUGAGGAG